GACGAACGCUGGCGGCGUGCUUAACACAUGCAAGUCGAACGGAAAGGCCCUGCUUUUGUGGGGUGCUCGAGUGGCGAACGGGUGAGUAACACGUGAGUAACCUGCCCUUGACUUUGGGAUAACUUCAGGAAACUGGGGCUAAUACCGGAUAGGAGCUCCUGCUGCAUGGUGGGGGUUGGAAAGUUUCGGCGGUUGGGGAUGGACUCGCGGCUUAUCAGCUUGUUGGUGGGGUAGUGGCUUACCAAGGCUUUGACGGGUAGCCGGCCUGAGAGGGUGACCGGCCACAUUGGGACUGAGAUACGGACCAGAAUACUACGGGAGGCAGCAGUGGGGAAUAUUGCACAAUGGGAGGAAGCCUGAUGAAGCAACGCCGCGUGCGGGAUGACGGCCUUCGGGUUGUAAACCGAUUUCGCCUGUGACGAAGCGUGAGUGACGGUAAUGGGUAAAGAAGCACCGGCUAACUACGUG
rnacentral:rRNA from 1 species